GAGAGCCACGAGGAGGAGAGAGGGGAGGUGGACGAGGACUCGAAGUCUUGUAGAAAGUGCACGAAUCUGGAAUUCAAUGGAAAGAAUAAAUUCGAGUUAAUCUAAUUUGCCUUAAAUGGAUAAAAUGUAAAGAGAGUUUAGCCACGCAUUAUCUCUUGCAUUGUUUAGUUUCCUCUUAUAAAAAUGAUUUGCUGACACUCUAGAAUUUAGACUGUUCUAGUGU
rnacentral:lncRNA from 1 species